rnacentral:rRNA from 1 species
GACGAACGCUGGCGGCGUGCCUAAUGCAUGCAAGUUGAGCGCUGAAGGUUGGUACUUGUACCAACUGGAUGAGCAGCGAACGGGUGAGUAACGCGUGGGGAAUCUGCCUUUGAGCGGGGGACAACAUUUGGAAACGAAUGCUACUACCGCAUAAAAACUUUAAACACAAGUUUUAAGUUUGAAAGAUGCAAUUGCAUCACUCAAAGAUGAUCCCGCGUUGUAUUAGCUAGUUGGUGAGGUAAAGGCUCACCAAGGCGAUGAUACAUAGCCGACCUGAGAGGGGGGUCGGCCACAUUGGGACUGGGACCAGGCCCAAACCCCCUCGGGAGGCAGCAGUAGGGAAUCUUCGGCAAUGGACGAAAGGCUGAACGAGCAACGCCGCGUGAGGGAAGAAGGGUUUCGGAUCGUAAAACUCGGUUGGUAGAGAAGAACGGUGGUGAGAGUGGAAAGCUCCUCAAGUGACGGUAACUACACAGAAAGGGACGGCUAACUACGUG